GUGAGGAAUAUUGGUCAAUGGGCGGGAGCCUGAACCAGCCAAGUCGCGUGAAGGAAGAAGGAUCUAUGGUUCAUAAACUUCUUUUGCAGGGGAAUAAAGUGCGGGACGUGUCCUGUUUUGUAUGUACCCUGAGAAUAAGGAUCGGCUAACUCCGUGCCAGCAGCCGCGGUAAUACGGAGGCUCCGAGCGUUAUCCGGAUUUAUUGGGUUUAAAGGGUGCGUAGGUGGUUUGAUAAGUCAGCGGUGAAAGUUUGCAGCUUAACUGUAGAAAUGCCGUUGAAACUGUCGGACUUGAGUGUAAAUGAGGUAGGCGGAAUGCGUGGUGUAGCGGUGAAAUGCAUAGAUAUCACGCAGAACUCCGAUUGCGAAGGCAGCUUACUAAGCUACAACUGACACUGAAGCACGAAAGCGUGGGGAUCAAACAGGAUUAGAUACCCCAGUAGUCC
rnacentral:rRNA from 1 species